rnacentral:lncRNA from 1 species
GCCUUGUUUUUGAUUCCUAGUACCAAAACCAAAAAAGGUUUUCUCAGGCCAGAGCAAUUGACAGAAAAGCCAAGAUAAUAAGUGGGGGUGUGGCUGACUGAUUUGUCACACAGCAACAAAAACUCAGCCCCAGAUGGGUUUAGGUUUAGCUGACCAACUGGCCCAGUCACAGACCUGUUGUCGGCCUCUACUGCAGUUACCUAGGUGAGGGACAAACACUUGAGCCUCUAGGAGGAGGAGAUGCUCCUGGACCAGAGCUUCCUUGUGGGCUUAGUAAACGCCACAAGCCCUUCAGACCUGCUUGUUGAUUGCUAGCUAUGACUGGCACGAAGGAUAAUGAUUUGGUUGGCUUGGUUAAUAGGGCCCUGGCGUCAGUCUUUGUGUCCUUCCACAAGGGCCAGAAGGAGCAUAUCCAGUUUAGUCAGUCCUAGGCUGGUGGAGAGAAUCCUUGCCCAGAGCACAUGUAGGCCUCUGCCUGGCUGCUGCUGCACACCAAGGAAUUUGCAGUGGUAGGGGCACAGCUAUUUGUCUGGCCAGACUCUUGAGUCUGUGACCAUAGCCUAAGGAGGAGUUUCAGCCAUUGGUAAGCUUACAGUAUAGAACCCAAAAACAAAUUCAACCUAAACUCCCAUGGAUACAUGUGUGGGCCUGGAAGCCUUGGUUUUGUAGUAAGUGUAAUGGUUUCUUUGUGUUUAUGUGUAUACAGGCACACGUGCCAUGGUGCACCUGGAGGUCACGGAAUAACUUGCCAGAGCUGGUUCUCCUUCCACCACGUGGGUCCCAGGGAUCAAAGCCAGGUCCUCAGGCUAGGCAGCCAUUACCUUCCCGCACUGAGCCAUCUCAUUGGUUCUUGUCUUUUGUUUUUGUGAGACUGGGUUACAUGGAAGCUGGGCUCUCCUCCAUCUCCCUCCCUCCCCCUCUCUUCCCCUGUCUGAAACAAACUCUGGUUAUCGUAGCCUGAAUCUCACCGUGUAGCCCAAACUAGCCUGCACCUCAUGGGGCUCCUCAGGCUCCCGAAUACUGGCAUUGCAAGCAUGUCCCAUCAUGCUAAACCUGGCUUUUAAAAAAAUGUGGUUUUUUUUUUUCAUUUUAUGUGUAUGUAUGCAUAUAUGUCUGUGUACCAGGUUUGUGCAGUGCCCAGGGAGCCCAGAGAGGGUGUCAGCCCCCCUGGGAUUGGACUUAGAGCUGUGAGCCACUAUAUGGGUGCUGGGAAUCAAACAGGUUCUCUGUAAAAGCAGCUAAGUUCUCUUAACCAUUGAGGAAUCUUCCAGCUCCCUGGCUUCUUAGCUCUAUGGAGUCUUUGGCUUAGAAUCUGGUAUUGUGGCAUCUAGUUUCCCCUCGUUCUGAAAUCACUUGGUUAGUAUAGGCAGCAGAGGCAGGCCACAUCUUUCCUGGGCUUUGGUGACAGCUGGGCCUUAAGGGGUCUUGGAGCUGAAGCAUGAGGGGGUGUGAGUGAGACAGGUUGCAGAGGUGAAGGCCCUCGGGCUUUGCAGAUACUCCUGGUUGAGCUGAGUCUACAGGGAAGCCUGCCAUUGCUUGAAGCUGAUAGUUCUCUGAUGUUACAAAAUACUGCUUCACCCAGUAUGUGGUGAUGGCGAUUCGGAAGGCGAAGCAGAAGCCCUACCAGAUAAGAGUGAAGGCGUGGCCAGAUGGGGACACAGCAGGAUUUGUUUGGACAGUUCAACACUGGCUGACCAUUGGAAUCACUGGGCAGCUUCCAAAAAUAAAAACAACCUCCUGU